rnacentral:rRNA from 1 species
GACGAACGCUGGCGGCGUGCUUAACACAUGCAAGUCGAACGGAAAGGCCCUGCUUUUGUGGGGUGCUCGAGUGGCGAACGGGUGAGUAACACGUGAGUAACCUGCCCUUGACUUUGGGAUAACUUCUGGAAACUGGGGCUAAUACCGGAUAGGAGCUCCUGCUGCAUGGUGGGGGUUGGAAAGUUUCGGCGGUUGGGGAUGGACUCGCGGCUUAUCAGCUUGUUGGUGGGGUAGUGGCUUACCAAGGCUUUGACGGGUAGCCGGCCUGAGAGGGUGACCGGCCACAUUGGGACUGAGAUACGGCCCAGACUCCUACGGGAGGCAGCAGGGGGGAAUAUUGCACAAUGGGCGGAAGCCUGAUGCAGCAACGCCGCGUGCGGGAUGACGGCCUUCGGGUGGUAAACCGCUUUCGCCUGUGACGAAGCGUGAGUGACGGUAAUGGGUAAAGAAGCACCGGCUAACUACGUG